AUUGAACGCUGGCGGAAUGCUUUACACAUGCAAGUCGAACGGCAGCACGGACUUCGGUCUGGUGGCGAGUGGCGAACGGGUGAGUAAUGUAUCGGAACGUGCCCAGUCGUGGGGGAUAACGUAGGGAAAAUUACGCUAAUACCGCAUACGAUCCAUGGAUGAAAGCGGGGGAUCGCAAGACCUCGCGCGAUUGGAGCGGCCGAUAUCAGAUUAGGUAGUUGGUGGGGUAAAGGCCCACCAAGCCAACGAUCUGUAGCUGGUCUGAGAGGACGACCAGCCACACUGGAACUGAGACACGGUCCAGACUCCUACGGGAGGCAGCAGUGGGGAAUUUUGGACAAUGGGCGAAAGCCUGAUCCAACCAUUCCGCGUGCAGGAUGAAGGCCCUCGGGUUGUAAACUGCUUUUGUACAGAACGAAAAGGUUUCUACUAAUACUAGGAGCUCAUGACGGUACUGUAAGAAUAAGCACCGGCUAACUACGUGCCAGCCGCCGCCGUAA
rnacentral:rRNA from 1 species